UCGAGAAUUUUUCACAAUGGGGGAAACCCUGAUGGAGCGACGCCGCGUGGAGGACGAAGGCCUUCGGGUUGUAAACUCCUGUCAUGCGGGAACAAGAAAGUGAUAGUACCGCAAGAGGAAGAGACGGCUAACUCUGUGCCAGCAGCCGCGGUAAUACAGAGGUCUCAAGCGUUGUUCGGAUUCAUUGGGCGUAAAGGGUGCGCAGGCGGCGUGGUAAGUUGAGUGUGAAAUCUCGGGGCUCAACCCCGAAACUGCACUCAAUACUGCCAUGCUCGAGGACUGUAGAGGAGAGUGGAAUUCACGGUGUAGCAGUGAAAUGCGUAGAUAUCGUGAGGAAGACCAGUUGCGAAGGCGACUCUCUGGGCAGUUCCUGACGCUCAUGCACGAAGGCCAGGGGAGCAAACGGGAUUAGAUACCCCCGUAGUCC
rnacentral:rRNA from 1 species